ensembl:lncRNA
GACAAGGAACAGGAAAUUGUUCCACUGCAAAGAAGCACAUGACAAAGAACAUGGAUGGCUCUGAUCUGGGGGAAACCACAGGUAAAUGAGGCUUACUUCUGAGCCACUGGCCCCGAGGACAGUAGUGAGUGUGAUCUCAAAGAAGAACAAGGGGAGGGGUUCUGAGGAGCAACAGUCUCCUCCCCACAAGACCCCCAGCUGAUCCAGCAGGGCUUGGAUGGUCACUGGGAGCUGUACUGCACUCCUCCUGGAACCACACCACAGGUUCUUCUGGAUGCCAUUACAACAAAUAGAGUAUGUGUACCUGGUAUCUCUCGGCAGAGCCUGCUGGCUCCACGUUACAGAGCUGAGCACAGAUGGAGUCCUUGGGUUUCAGAGGGUUGGCCACUGGUGAGAUCAGCCCCUCCCUCAGCAACCUCUCUCCACCAUGGACCAGCUCCCACACCUGGGGGGCCCUGCGGCAGACACACACACAGUCAAUGUAGAUGUAUACUACAGUAUACUACAAUGAUACCAUCUCACUUGUGUACACACAUACACAAGCAAACAACAGUGGAUACAUAAUAACACAUUUGUAUACAACAUAAACACAGAUAGAGAAAUGAAACAUACUUCAUGUGCUUGACACAGUUAGACACACACUGUUUUAGAGGCCACUCCAAAAUGUGCAGUUUUGUCACACUACACAAUGCCACAGUUGUCUCAAGUUUUGAG